rfam:[Clostridium] purinilyticum strain DSM 1384 CLPT_12c, whole genome shotgun sequence.
UGGCUAGUAUCUUUAAUAGAACUAGACUAUUUGAUUUAUGUUUAUAGCAAAAUAAAUAGUAAAUACGACUAGUAUCCUAAUUAGGAACUAGAACGGGAG